rnacentral:rRNA from 1 species
AUUGAACGCUGGCGGCAGGCCUAACACAUGCAAGUCGAACGAGUGGCGGACGGGUGAGUAAUGUCUGGGAAACUGCCCGAUGGAGGGGGAUAACUACUGGAAACGGUAGCUAAUACCGCAUACUAUCGGAUGUGCCCAUAUGGGAUUAGCUAGUAGGUGGGGUAACGGCUCACCUAGGCGACGAUCCCUAGCUGGUCUGAGAGGAUGACCAGCCACACUGGGACUGAGACACGGUCCAGACUCCUACGGGAGGCAGCAGUGGGGAAUAUUGCACAAUGGGCGCAAGCCUGAUGCAGCCAUGCCGCGUGUAUGAAGAAGGCCUUAGGGUUGUAAAGUACUUUCAGCGGGGAGGCGUUACCCGCAGAAGAAGCACCGGCUAACUCCGUGCCAGCCGCCGCGGUAAUUC